rnacentral:rRNA from 1 species
GUGACCUCAAAUCAGGUAGGACUACCCGCUGAACUUAAGCAUAUCAAUAAGCGGAGGAAAAGAAACUAACAAGGAUUCCCCUAGUAACUGCGAGUGAAGCGGGAAAAGCUCAAAUUUAAAAUCUGUCAGUCUUUGGCU